UAACGCGUGAGGAACAUGCCUCAAAGAGGGGGACAACAGUUGGAAACGACUGCUAAUACCGCAUAGGCCCACGGCUCGGCAUCGAGCAGAGGGAAAAGGAGCAAUCCGCUUUGAGAUGGCCUCGCGUCCGAUUAGCUAGUUGGUGAGGUAACGGCCCACCAAGGUGACGAUCGGUAGCCGGACUGAGAGGUUGAACGGCCACAUUGGGACUGAGACACGGCCCAGACUCCUACGGGAGGCAGCAGUGGGGAAUAUUGCACAAUGGGGGAAACCCUGAUGCAGCGACGCCGCGUGGAGGAAGAAGGUCUUCGGAUUGUAAACUCCUGUUGUUGGGGAAGAUAAUGACGGUACCCAACAAGGAAGUGACGGCUAACUACGUGCCAGCAGCCGCGGUAAAACGUAGGUCACAAGCGUUGUCCGGAAUUACUGGGUGUAAAGGGAGCGCAGGCGGGAAGACAAGUUGGAAGUGAAAUCUAUGGGCUCAACCCAUAAACUGCUUUCAAAACUGUUUUUCUUGAGUAGUGCAGAGGUAGGCGGAAUUCCCGGUGUAGCGGUGGAAUGCGUAGAUAUCGGGAGGAACACCAGUGGCGAAGGCGGCCUACUGGGCACCAACUGACGCUGAGGCUCGAAAGUGUGGGUAGCAAACAGGAUUAGAUACCCUGGUAGUCCACACCGUAAACGAUGAUUACUAGGUGU
rnacentral:rRNA from 1 species